CCCGCACAAGCGGUGGAGCAUGUGGUUUAAUUCGACGCAACGCGAAGAACCUUACCAGGGCUUGACAUCCCCUGACCGCGUAUGAAAGUACGUUUUCACCCUCGGGUGACAGGGAGACAGGUGGUGCAUGGUUGUCGUCAGCUCGUGUCGUGAGAUGUUGGGUUAAAUCCCGCAACGAGCGCAACCCCUACGUUUAGUUGCUAACAGGUGAAGCUGAGCACUCUAGACGAACUGCCGUUGACAAAACGGAGGAAGGUGGGGAUGACGUCAAAUCAUCAUGCCCCUUAUGUUCUGGGCUACACACGUGCUACAAUGGCAGCUACAGAGGGCAGCAAGACCGCGAGGUGGAGCCAAUCCCUAAAAGCUGUCUCAGUUGGGAUCGGAGUCUGCAACUCGACUCCGUGAACGCGGAAUCGCUAGUAAUCGUGGAUCAGCCAUGCCACGGUGAAUACGUUCCCGGGCCUU
rnacentral:rRNA from 1 species